CCCUUAGAUGUUCUGGGCCGCGCACGCGCUACACUGAAGGAGGCAGCGUGUACUCCUGGAUCGAAAGAUUUGGGUAACCCGCGAAUCUCCUUCGUGCUAGGGAUUGAGGUUUGCAAUUAUCCUUCAUGAACGAGGAAUUCCCAGUAAGUGCAAGUCAUAAGCUUGCGCUGACUACGUCCCUGCCCUUUGUACACACCGCCCGUCGCUACUACCGAUUGAAUGAUUUAGUGAGGACUUCGGACUGGGACCGAUGCGGCUUUCGGGCUGCGUCGGUAUUCUGGAAAGAUGUCCAAACUGUAUCAUUUAGAGGAAGUAAAANUCGUAACA
rnacentral:rRNA from 1 species